AAUUUUUUUUUUUUUUUUUUGUGCAUUUUUUUCUGGUCCCUUUUCUUUCAAUUCAAACCCUAAUUCCUAAAACAAUUUUGAUACACACAAAUUUCUCAAUAUCAUAUCCAGAUCCCCAAAUUUCCCUUCUUCCAUUUCCAGCUCCUUUCCCUCUUUCCAUGGUUGACGCUAGCUUAGGGUUUUUAGUAGAAAAUUGAUGAAAUAUAUACAGAAAUUUAAUGACGGUGGAGAAGAUCAGAGGGAGGGUAGAACAUAUUUGUACGAUGGGAGAAGGGAGCUGGUGGUAGUGGUGGUUCCCGAUUUAAGUUGUAUUGUCUUGGUAUCCGUCCCCGUUCACCUCCUCGCUCGCCUCACCUUCUCCUAGAGAAGCUUAAGAAAUCAAUGGCGGCAACAGAGUUUGAACAAGUGAGGAGAUGAUCGAUGAUUUAGAGGAAGACUAAAAUAUCGACGGCAACUCAAACACCGUAAAACCCAGCAUAAUUAAUAAUUUUGGGUGAAGUGGAUUGUAUGCUUGACAUGGGGUUUGAACAAGAUGUUUGUUCUAUAUUGAGCCAAACAAGCUCUUGUAUGUUAUGAUUUCAUGUCUGCCUAAAUCUCUAUGCUUCUUGUUGAAAAUUCAAUAUUCUUUGUCUAGAACUUUGCAAAUAUGACGGUAAAAAUAAUUAAAAGCAUUAAGUUACUGUGCUUUGCAUGUCAUUGUUCCAAAAUAUAGAAAAGCAAUAACUUUACUGAUUGGAAGAAGUUGUUUCAUUUGAAAUAAUUAUCAGCCUGUAAAAAAGGUAAAAAGAAGGAUAUCAUUGAUUGAUAUAGAUUCACUUUUGUUUUAGAUGAUGUUAAUGUUUAGUUAGUUCAUGAUAUUUUUUAAAUUUGUGCUUGAUUCAUUUGUGCUUGAUAUUUUAAUAAGUUUAUAAUCCCACCUUUAGCCAAUUUCUAUUAUCUUGAUCCAUUUGUUCUUAAUUGUUCUGCAACUGUGUUUCUAGGACUUCAACUAUAGCAAAUAAGAUGCGAAACAAUUGGUCUAGUACUCUAGUACAUGGCCAGAAACAUUAUAUAGGUUAGUAACAAGCUUUGAUAAAACCUUGGAAAUCAAUCAUUUGAUGAUAAACUAUGAAUUUAUUCCUUUAAGUAAUAACAUGAAGCAAUUUAGCUGAAGGUUUUUACCAACUGUAUAUUCCUCUUCGGCUCUUCCCCUGCAUUAAACAAAGGGAGUAUGUCUGAAAAUUUUGGAUUUACAACACUAGAAUCACUUGAAUAUAACGCUAGAAACAGAAGAAAUUUUCGCUGUCAUAUUUAAUUUCAUGGAGGAAAUACUUCAUUAUUAUUCAAUUUUAAGAUUUCUUUCUCAAAAUAAAAAGGAUAUUUUUGCUUUUGAUUCAUGAAUUUUAUAGAGUAAUUGGUGUUGAUCGUGUUGUUUUAAUCGGGUUUUGGGCGGAUUUUGGGUAGAUUUAUAUUCUCGAUUUGGAUAAGUGUUGAGCGAUUUUUUCUUAAUUAUCAAUGGUUUCAUAAUUACUUAUUAGAUUUCUGUAAAAUAAAAUUCAAUUUUUGGGCUUUUCUUUUAGUUAAGUUCUGAUUUCCAUUGAAGCGGAAAAUGGAGCAGCAAUCUUUGGUGCAAUCUCAAUAAUCAUGCUAUCUACGGCUACUAUUUAUGCCGCAUGCAGACCUGACAACAUCACCCCUUUGAGUAGGAUGGGUUAGUACCAGUUUGUUUGUUUUCUCUCUCUUCUCUUCUUUCUAAUUACUAGCUUUUUUAAUUGCUUAUUAAUUGUAUUUGAGGGCUGUUUGGCAUGUUAUAGUUGGUCUUAAUUUAUCUAUUUUUUUUUUUUUUUGCUAUUAAUCGAGAGCUGAUUUCAUGCCCCCCCUUUUUAUGUAUACUUUUUUUUUCCUGGUGUUUGUUUGAUUAAUCAAUCUAAUUUCUUAAUUUUAACAAGUUGGGUGAUGAAUUUUUAACUUUGCUUAUUUGAAUGUUACAUAGGUUUUGAUUCCUAUUCUGAAACCAACUGGAUACACUAUUGCAAAUCAUAAUAAAAUGUAAUUUUAAUCUCACCUUAAUUUAAUGCUUUUUUUAUAUAUACCUAUUUUAUGUUUCUUGAGUUUGUUUGCUAUGAGCAUUGUUUUAGAAAGUAGGAUUUUGGUGAUGAGUUUGAUUGGUAUGUUUAAGUGCAAUUAAGCCAUUUUCUUUCAAGUAGUUGUAGAAUUGGAUUCUAUGAGCGAAAACAAGCAGAUAUAUAAAUUGUUAUAAAGGUUUUGGUGAGGCCAAAUUAGUGAAUUAUAUUCUAAUUUGACACCAAGACAUUUAAUUAUCAGCAAAUCAGCUGUAGAAAUUAAGUUAACAACCUAGCUAGUAGGCAAGAGGCAGUAAGAUGGCGAAGACUUGAUUGUGUGGGUAGCCUGCACACACUUAAAAAGUCUAAAGUUGGGAUGAAUAUCAAGCUCAUAGAUGAAUUUAUGUGGUUUAGAUGUUAAAAAAUUGUUAUUUGCCUAUUUGGUAAUUCAUUUUAAAAUUGUUAUUUGGUAAUUGCUUUAAAAAUUCUUUAAGUUCUUUUAAAAUUGUGAUCUAAGUAGAUAUAUUCGAACCGUUCCUUCUCUAUUCAUGUCCGCAUUUCGUGUAGAUUUUUAGUUUAAAUGCACUAAUAUUAACAUGCACAGAGAUGCAGAGGGUCUAAAAACAAAUCAUCUUGGGAAUGAUUCUUGUUGCUUUUUUCCUUUUACUUUAUAGGCAAGUAUGUCAGGGUUGUAUAUUGAAGGAGUGAUCUAGCAUUGGAAUUUUGCAUGUUAAUGCCUGCACAUGGUGUUAAAUAAUUUUGCAAUGUAUUUAUAUGCAAUAUGCAUGCAUAUGAUACUAUACUUGUGCAGCAUGUUGGAGUCACUUAGUUACACUCUGAUUUUUCUCUUUGUAAAUUAUUCUCUUUGGAGAAUUAUGUACCCUCAUGGUGAAACAUAAUCUAGGUGUUAUUGAACAUUACAGCUUAAAUAUUUGCAGGCCCUAGUCUCUAUAUAGAUACCCAGAGGUACUCGGAGGAUCCGUAAGCUAAUGGAUAUUGGUUUGCAUUUCUCGUGUUUUGACAAAGAUAUAUACUAAGUUAUGGAGUGCAAAAAAGAAGAGGCCUUGAGGGCAAAGGAUAUUGCUCUGAAGAAACUGAAAGCAAAAAAAAUACUAGCAUUGAAGGUGCAUUCAAGUUGAUUGGAAAGGCUCGGUUGGUAUCGUUUGUGGACGAACUCUGAACAACUAUAAUAGUCGAACACAAUAUUUUCUGUUUGUUGCUGACUCUUGCCAUCCACUGUUGUUUGCUACUGCUGUUUGUUGCUACAUGAUGUUUGCUAGAAGCUUCUGUUGCUGCUAUUGCCGUUAUGCUAGUUUUUUGUUUAUUAUUUUCUCACUUUUUUUUAGCUAGAGAUCGAACUUGAUUUUGUUUUUGUUUGGAUUAUUAUCUUGUUUGGCCAAACAUUAAAAUUGUUGUUGGAUUUUUUUUAAAGAAUUAUGAAAUUAUUUCAAUCCAAAUUAUUAUCUGUCA